rnacentral:rRNA from 1 species
CCCUUAGAUGUUCUGGGCCGCACGCGCGCUACACUGAUGAUGUCAACAAGCUUUACCUUGGCCGAUAGGUCUGGGCAAUCUUCGAACUAUCAUCGUGAUGGGGCUAGAUUAUUGCAACUAUUAAUCUUAAACGAGGAAUUCCUAGUAAGCGCGAGUCAUCAGCUCGCGUUGAUUACGUCCCUGCCCUUUGUACACACCGCCCGUCGCUCCUACCGAUUGGAUUGGCUGGUGAAGCGUUCGGAUUGUGGAUUCGGAGCGGUUCGCCGUUCUGGAUUUGCGAGAAGUUCGUUAAACCCUCCUAUCUAGAGGAAGGAGAAGUCGUAACA